rnacentral:misc_RNA from 1 species
AAGAAUUUCUCUGUAAAAUCCCAUGACGUGAUGAAAAAUACAUACAGCCAACCAUGCAAAGAUGUCCACUCUUCGAAUCAUAUAAUCCCUCAGCAGAAAUUUCAAUUGUCAAAGGAGUAUGCUCAUCACUGUACAAGAACUGAGAUGGAGCAACAAAGUGCAGUACAUAGCUUAUAUUGACCACAGUGCUCUGAUUGUUGUUCACUUGAACAGAAG